CAGUAAAUGGUAAGUUUUGAACACAAGAGUAAAGUAGAUUGUUGUGACCAGUGAAAUAAGGUUAAAUAAUAGUAUAUAAUGCAUAUUCAAUUAAUUUUAAACUAUUAAUGAGAAUUUUUGCUAUAGGACAAGAGUGUUACUUCCUCAGCUUGAAAAGACAGAAGAAAAAGACUCCAGUGAGUUUUGGAAUUAACAAAUCAAGUGAACUAUCUGCCCUACUUGGUGCUAAAUGGAUUUUCAGAGCUGUCUGUCUUAAAUAUCCUUGCUCUCCAGAGGUGAAGGCACAAAACAGUGAGAAGAGGUAAGUUAAUGUAACUGUUCCAUACACAAGCAUGUUUCAGAG
ensembl:lncRNA